rnacentral:rRNA from 1 species
GACGAACGCUGGCGGCGUGCCUAAUACAUGCAAGUAGAACGCUGAAGAGAGGAGCUUGCUCUUCUUGGAUGAGUUGCGAACGGGUGAGUAACGCGUAGGUAACCUGCCUUGUAGCGGGGGAUAACUAUUGGAAACGAUAGCUAAUACCGCAUAACAAUGGAUGACACAUGUCAUUUAUUUGAAAGGGGCAAUUGCUCCACUACAAGAUGGACCUGCGUUGUAUUAGCUAGUAGGUGAGGUAAUGGCUCACCUAGGCGACGGUACAUAGCCGACCUGAGAGGGUGAUCGGCCACACUGGGACUGAGACACGGCCCAGACUCCUACGGGAGGCAGCAGUAGGGAAUCUUCGGCAAUGGGGGCAACCCUGACCGAGCAACGCCGCGUGAGUGAAGAAGGGUUUCGGAUCGUAAAGCUCUGUUGUAAGUCAAGAACGGGUGUGAGAGUGGAAAGUUCACACUGUGACGGUAGCUUACCAGAAAGGGACGGCUAACUACGUG